AGCUCCAAUAGCAUAUGUUAAAGUUGUUGCGGUUAAAAAGCUCGUAGUUGGAUCUCGGCGGGCCGGGGCCGGUUCGCUCUCUAGCGUGACUGGCCCACUGGCCCGUGUGUUUGGCGGAGGUCGCGCGGGUGCUCUUAACCGAGUGUCCCGCGGCGCCGUCAGUUUGACUUUGAAAAAAUUAGAGUGCUCCAGGCAGGCUUGACACGCCUGAAUAGUCGUGCAUGGAAUGAUAGAAUAGGACGUCGUUUCUGUUCUGUUGGUCUUAAGAAAUCGACGUAAUGAUUGAUAGGGACAGUCGGGGGCAUUGGUAUUCAGACGCUAGAGGUGAAAUUCUUGGACCGUCUGAAGACCCACUACUGCGAAAGCAUUUGCCAAGAAUGUUUUCA
rnacentral:rRNA from 1 species